rnacentral:rRNA from 1 species
UAAGGAAUAUUGGUCAAUGGACGCAAGUCUGAACCAGCCAUGCCGCGUGGAGGAUGAAGGCCCUCUGGGUUGUAAACUUCUUUUACCUGGGAAGAAACCUGGACUUUCUAGUUCAGUUGACGGUACCAGGGGAAUAAGCACCGGCUAACUCCGUGCCAGCAGCCGCGGUAAUACGGAGGGUGCAAGCGUUAUCCGGAUUCACUGGGUUUAAAGGGUGCGUAGGUGGGCAGGUAAGUCAGUGGUGAAAUCUCUGAGCUUAACUCAGAAACUGCCGUUGAUACUAUCUGUCUUGAAUAUAGUGGAGGUGAGCGGAAUAUGUCAUGUAGCGGUGAAAUGCUUAGAUAUGACAUAGAACACCCAUUGCGAAGGCAGCUCGCUACACUAUCAUUGACACUGAGGCACGAAAGCGUGGGGAUCAAACAGGAUUAGAUACCCCUGUAGUCC